GAUGAACGCUGGCGGCGUGCUUAACACAUGCAAGUCGAACGGGAAACCUUUUAAUGAAGCUUCGGCAGAUUUAGCUGGUUUCUAGUGGCGGACGGGUGAGUAACGCGUGGGUAACCUGCCUUAUACAGGGGGAUAACAGUCAGAAAUGACUGCUAAUACCGCAUAAGCGCACAGGACCGCAUGGUCCGGUGUGAAAAACUCCGGUGGUAUAAGAUGGACCCGCGUUGGAUUAGCUUGUUGGUGGGGUAACGGCUCACCAAGGCGACGAUCCAUAGCCGGCCUGAGAGGGUGAACGGCCACAUUGGGACUGAGACACGGCCCCGACUCCUACGGGAGGCAGCAGUGGGGAAUAUUGCACAAUGGGGGAAACCCUGAUGCAGCGACGCCGCGUGAAGGAAGAAGUAUCUUGGUAUGUAAACUUCUAUCAGCAGGGAAGAUAGUGACGGUACCUGACGAAGAAGCCCCGGCUAACUACGUG
rnacentral:rRNA from 1 species